rnacentral:rRNA from 1 species
UGGGGAAUAUUGCACAAUGGGGGAAACCCUGAUGCAGCGACGCCGCGUGAGGGAAGAAGAUUUUCGGAUUGUAAACCUCUGUCUUCAGGGACGAUAAUGACGGUACCUGAGGAGGAAGCCACGGCUAACUACGUGCCAGCAGCCGCGGUAAUACGUAGGUGGCAAGCGUUGUCCGGAAUUACUGGGUGUAAAGGGAGCGCAGGCGGGUUUGCAAGUUGGAUGUUUAAUGGAGGGGCUCAACCCCUUCUCGCAUUCAAAACUGCAGAUCUUGAGUGGUGCAGAGGCAGGCGGAAUUCCCGGUGUAGCGGUGGAAUGCGUAGAUAUCGGGAGGAACACCAGUGGCGAAGGCGGCCUGCUGGGCACUAACUGACGCUGAGGCUCGAAAGCAUGGGUAGCAAACA